rnacentral:rRNA from 1 species
AGAGUUUGAUCCUGGCUCAGAACGAACGCUGGCGGCGUGCCUAACACAUGCAAGUCGAACGGAUUUGAGGGGCUUGCUCCUCAAUUUAGUGGCGCACGGGUGAGUAACGCGUAGAUAAUCUGCCUGAUGAUCUGGGAUAACAUUUCGAAAGGGGUGCUAAUACCGGAUAAGCCCACGAUGGCUUUGGUCGUUGCGGGAAAAGGGGGGGACCUUCGGGCCUUCUGUCAUCAGAUGAGUCUGCGUACCAUUAGCUAGUUGGUAGGGUAAUGGCCUACCAAGGCUACGAUGGUUAGCUGGUCUGAGAGGAUGAUCAGCCACACUGGAACUGAGACACGGUCCAGACUCCUACGGGAGGCAGCAGUGGGGAAUUUUGCGCAAUGGGCGAAAGCCUGACGCAGCAACGCCGCGUGAGUGAUGAAGGCUUUCGGGUCGUAAAGCUCUGUCGAGGGGAAAGAAGUGUAUUGGAGCUAAUAUCUCCGAUACUUGACGGUACCCCUAAAGGAAGCACCGGCUAACUCCGUGCCAGCAGCCGCGGUAAUACGGGGGGUGCAAGCGUUGUUCGGAAUUAUUGGGCGUAAAGCGCGUGUAGGCGGUCUGAUUAGUCUGAUGUGAAAGCCCUGGGCUCAACCCAGGAAGUGCAUUGGAUACUGUCAGACUUGAAUACGGGAGAGGGUAGUGGAAUUCCUAGUGUAGGAGUGAAAUCCGUAGAUAUUAGGAGGAACACCGGUGGCGAAGGCGGCUACCUGGACCGAUAUUGACGCUGAGACGCGAAAGCGUGGGUAGCAAACAGGAUUGAUACCCUGGUAGUCCCAGCCUUAAACGGUGUACACUUGGUGUGGGAGGAUUUGACCCCUUCUGUGCCGGAGCUAACGCGUUAAGUGUACCGCCUGGGGAGUACGGCCGCAAGGUUAAAACUCAAAGAAAUUGACGGGGGCCCGCACAAGCGGAGGAGCAUGUGGCUUAAUUCGAUGCAACGCGAAGAACCUUACCAGGACUUGACAUGCAACUGCACGUCCCGUGAAAGCGGGAUUCCUUCGAGGGUGUUGCACAGGUGCUGCAUGGCUGUCGUCAGUUCGUGCCGUGAGGUGUUGGGUUAAGUCCCGCAACGAACGCAACCCUUGUGUUUAGUUGCUACGNNNNNNNNNNNNNNNNNNNNNNNNNNNNNNNNNNNNNNNNNNNNNNNNNNGUGGGGAUGACGUCAAGUCAGUAUGGCCUUUAUGCCCUGGGCUGCACACGUGCUACAAUGGUCGGUACAGAGGGAUGCAAGACCGCGAGGUGGAGCAAAUC